UGCUAUGAAAUGCUUAGAUCCCAGCACUUCCAGAGAGGCUGAGGCAGGAGAACUGUUCCGAGUUCGAGGCCAGCCAGGGCUACAAACCUCCCAAGUCUUGGGACUACAGACCGUAGACUGUGCCAACACACAAGGCUGCAAAAGUGGUAGUAACUGUAAGAAGCUAAGAACAUUUUCAGAGUCAAGACUCUUGUGCAGGCUGAAACAGAGGUCGACAAUGGCCUCUGACUGCACAUUUCUAGAGCUCCACCCAAGCUAAAGCCAGUCCUUCUCAGGAGAGAAAACAACCUGCUGCCAGGUGGGCACAGAGCAAGUUGAACCUGCGGGACACAGUGCCAUGCUGCGCAGGAUAUUUUCUUCAGAAGACAAAACAGGCAACGGGGCGCCCAGGCUUGCAAGCCGCCUUCGGAAACCAGCAGCCCAGCAGAACCACAGAAGACGUGUGAAGAAAGAAGAUGGCUCCAGGUGCCCUGAGCAAGGGCUCAAGGAGGUGGGCUCGUGCGUAGGAAGAGUCCCCAGGAAAGCAUAUUUCCAGGGCAGGGCCUGCUUUAAAAACCUGAUCUUUUUGCUUAUGGGGGAAGGAAAGGAAAGUGAGCCUGUAAAUCACCUUUCCUCAAACCUCAACCCCAAGGCAGGAUUCUCCCAUCUGAGGUCUUACAAGCAGCUUGGUCCCAGAGGGCUCCCAGCAGUCAGAAAGGGCCGGAGGGAGGGAGGGGCCGAAGCAGGAAGCAGAGUCCACACGCUCCCACCUCACAGGUUGCUUCCGAGGGCCACAGCCUGGACCCUGUCCCCACCCUGGACCCUGUCCCCACCCUCCUGGCGGGCUCUGCUCCUAGCCUGAGGCAGGAUCUCCUCGGACCAGAGCGCACCUGGCAGACCGACCCAGGCCGACCAGCCUCUCCUCUGCAGAGUGGCUUUGGGUUAGGCGGGAGGCGUGCCUUAGUAAAACAUCAUGACAGCUUAUUCCUAUGAGAGAUGCAGAGAUUAGAUCUUUUCACUGCAAAAUCAGAGUCCAGCCACCAGUCUCCCUGCCACAGGGCUACCCUAUCAUUGUGACUUCUCACUCUUGACUUCAGGUACGGUCAAAACCCUCGUAAAUGAAAGCAAAAAGGUCUCCCUGCUGUUUCCAGGGCUGAGGACUGGCCCGGAGGCCUUCCCACCGAGCUGCAGCCCCAGCCUUCUUUUUUUUUUUUUUUUUCUUUCUAAUUUUUGGGACAGGGUCUUGCUAAAUCACUAAAUUGCCCAGGCCAGACUCUUAACUUGUCAUCCUCCUGCUUCAGCCUCCCUGAGUACUGUAUCCGGCAUGCCCACUAUCUAGCUGUAGCUCAGGACAUAGUAACAGUGUUUGUGUGGCACGACUAGGAAAGCCAAUCCAGCAUCAGAGACUGACGUCCCGCCCUAGAUGGGCUCCUCUAGGACAGGCAAACUCCCAGGGGAAAGUGCAGACCCACCCCACCAGCUGUCGUUCCUUCCUGGGCGUGGAGAGAGGCCGCAUGGUGUCCUCUUAAGAGCUAAAAAGAGGCACACUGGGUCUCAACACAGGCGUGAGGGGAGGCACAAAACCUACCCAGAACGUCACACGCAACAUCGGCUAGAACUGACGCGCAGCAGGGCAGACAGCACAGGGUGAGUGCAUGGCGCACAGACCUCCGGGCGAACCCUUCCCAGCUGUGCUCACCGCCCCAAAUGGUUAGAAGCUACGCUAGGCCCGCCUGGGAGCAGACACAACUGCCGCUGGAGCUGGAGGUGGCUGGGUCUCUCGGCCCUCACCCGACGCGGCCACGGUGCUCAGGUGACCCCGCGAGAGCAGAGGGCGCGGAGCUCCGCGUGGACGCGGGAAGGAGCUGGCUUAGCGUAAAUUGUAAGGGACAACUCCACAGUGAGAGAGAGGCGCCAGGAACUUCAACAACUAACGUUUUGUUCUGUAAGAGUUGUCCUUACGUGGGACUUGAUGUGGGAACAGCUGAUCCCUGAAUAAAGCCACCCCAUGAAAUACAUUCUUAUUUCUGAAAUCCUGUCCCCAGAUGUAACAAACCAGCGAACACCCCUCUCAUUUUUCUCGUGAAGAAACAGAUUGAACAAAACAUUUCUCACACUUUGUUCUUCACCCCCACAAUGCGGCUGUGACUUCCCAGCACGUGGCACGUAUUACGUGUCCAAAGACCUUUAAAAAUAUCAAAGUUAUCUCCACCGUGAGACAACAGGACCCACACGCGCCAGGAAGCCUGAUCUGUGAGGCUGAAACUCAGGCAGCCGGCCCCGCUGCGGAGGCGCAGUGGUCAGAAGGGACCCCAGGCUGCCGCUCCGUCUGCUCUUGGCGCUGGGUCUGGGAAGAGUUACUAGAUUCUGAGCAGAGGAGCGGGAGCAACAGGAAGGGAUCCAGGAGGAAGCGGGGACCAGGAGGCCAAGCUGUUAGCGAGGCUGGGUUGGGAGGAAGGUGGAGUCCACUGGCCACGGCCCUCGGGAGGCGGAGAAGGCUACGCAGGGCCUCUCACAGUGGACUGCAGAGAGGGCUGGGGGUCCCGACACAGUGGCAGCAAGAGUGGGGCGAGGGCUGAGGAGCGGGCCUGACGGCCAGUCCGGGGGUCACCGAGGACCCGGUGCCAACAGGAGCGGAAGGCAGGAGGCCGGUGAGGGCGCACCAGAGGACAAAGGCGAGAGAAGUCGCCUCAGAAACACCCAGCUGCAAGCUACGCGGCUGGGACCUCAAAGCCGCGCCACGUUUAGGGCGGAAAGCCAGCUCUGCCUUGGAGACUGAAAGAUGAGCAGAAGAAAGCCAGCUGAAGUGAGUGAGGGAGGAGAGGCCUGGCAACCUAACAAGCGCGAGUGUGACGUGGUUCAUGUGAUAUGGCUCACGUGACAUGGCUCACAUGACGUGGUUCACGUGAUGCGGUUCACGUGACACGGGCUCACACGACGGCAAGUCAACAUGAGGAAACAGCAGGGCCCCUGCUUCAAGAGUCCGAUGCUGUCUCCCAGGGCUGUGGGGUGGGACGUGACAGUAGCCCCACUGAGGCCACAGCAUGCCCGGGACCAAUGUGAGGAGUGCCUGAGGGUCGGUUUCCCCAUCCCCAGUUCCCGCGUCACCCUAACUCCUGCGUGGCCCCAGGGGCGG